GUUGCCACAGGCAACGGCCCGAAGGGCGAGGCGCUUUAGCUCCGAGUAAUCCUUCCCACACUACUG
rnacentral:sRNA from 1 species